GUAGGGAAUAUUGGACAAUGGGCGCAAGCCUGAUCCAGCCAUGCCGCGUGAGUGAUGAAGGCCUUCGGGUUGUAAAGCUCUUUAGCCGAUGAUUAUAAUGACUGUAGUCGGAAAAUAAGCCCCGGCUAACUUCGUGCCAGCAGCCGCGGUAAUACGAAGGGGGCGAGCGUUAUUCGGAAUCACUGGGCGUAAAGCGUGCGUAGGCGGUUUUGUAAGUUAGGAGUGAAAGCCCAGGGCUCAACCCUGGAAUUGCUCUUAAAACUACAAGGCUAGAAUGUCGGAGAGGAUAGCGGAAUUUCCAGUGUAGCAGUGAAAUGCGUAGAUAUUGGAAGGAACACCAGUGGCGUAAGCGGCUAUCUGGACGACUAUUGACGCUGAGGCACGAAAGCGUGGGGAUCAAACAGGAUUAGAAACCCGGGUAGUCC
rnacentral:rRNA from 1 species